CGAGACCCGGAAGCUUUCCCAGAUUCCAGAGCCGACGCAGGCAUGAGCUAAACCAUUAACCUUUCACCGACUUACCAGAGGUACGGCCGGGCACACUGAAGCCAGAGCCCAAACUGGUAGGCAGGGUCAGGGCCGCUGUUUCCUCUGGAGGACCACCCAGGGUUGAGAGGCUGGAGCUGAGGCCCUGCUGACAAACGUUUACAAAGCCCCACGCAAUGCAUGCCUGCCCUGUAACAUGCCUGCCCGGGCUUGUUUGUGUUGAACAAAUCGUUCCCGUGUCCACAGUCUGGGCUGCCCUGGACCCGGGAAGGCUGCCAUGGAUAGGAAGGAAAGACAAAGGAAAUCCAGCAUUCAAAGACUCUAGAAACUUAUUUUUCGAAUGAACCAACAAACAAACAAAAGUAACUCUUACCUACUUAUCAUUUCCUUAUUUUAGCAUUGCUGAAUGGAAAAAGAUAAAUACUGAGGUGAAGCUAUGUUUUGUUAUGGGAUUAUGGAUUAAACCAAUUAUUAG
rnacentral:lncRNA from 1 species